rnacentral:rRNA from 1 species
AAUGAACGCUAGCGGCAGGCUUAAUACAUGCAAGUCGAGGGACAGCACAGGUAGCAAUACUGGGUGGUAACCGGCAAACGGGUGCGGAACACGUACACAACCUUCCUUUAAGUGGGGGAUAGCCCAGAGAAAUUUGGAUUAAUACCCCGUAAUAUAGUUGAAUGGCAUCAUUUGAUUAUUAUAGCUAAGGCGCUUCAUGCUGGGUGUGCGGCUGAUUAGAUAGUUGGCGGGGUAACGGCUCACCAAGUCUACGAUCAGUAGCGGAUGUAAGAGCAGGAACAGCGACACGGGCACUGAGACACGGGCCCGACUCCUACGGGAGGCAGCAGUAAGGAAUAUUGGCCAAUGGACGCAAGUCUGAACCAGCCAUGCCGCGUGAAGGAUUAAGGUCCUCUGGAUUGUAAACUUCUUUUAUUUGGGACGAAAAAGGGCCUUUCUAGGUCAACUGACGGUACCAGAUGAAUAAGCACCGGCUAACUCCGUGCCAGCAGCCGCCGUAAUAC